rnacentral:rRNA from 1 species
UACACUCCUACGGGAGGCAGCAGUGGGGAAUUUUGGACAAUGGGCGAAAGCCUGAUCCAGCAAUGCCGCGUGAGUGAAGAAGGCCUUCGGGUUGUAAAGCUCUUUUGUCAGGGAAGAAACGGUGAGAGCUAAUAUCUUUUGCUAAUGACGGUACCUGAAGAAUAAGCACCGGCUAACUACGUGCCAGCAGCCGCGGUAAUACGUAGGGUGCAAGCGUUAAUCGGAAUUACUGGGCGUAAAGCGUGCGCAGGCGGUUUUGUAAGUCUGAUGUGAAAUCCCCGGGCUCAACCUGGGAAUUGCAUUGGAGACUGCAAGGCUAGAAUCUGGCAGAGGGGGGUAGAAUUCCACGUGUAGCAGUGAAAUGCGUAGAUAUGUGGAGGAACACCGAUGGCGAAGGCAGCCCCCUGGGUCAAGAUUGACGCUCAUGCACGAAAGCGUGGGGAGCAAACAGGAUUAGAAACCCCAGUAGUCCCAUGA